GAACCGGCUCCUAUCGAAGCCGUCCAUGCUCUCCAGUAGCACUGAAUGGUCAACAGGAAGCCCAGAGGAAAACUUCCACCGACGGUCGCUGUUCAGUUUAAAAAGAUAACUGUUAUAGCAACAUUAAGGGGAAGGACAUUU
ensembl:snoRNA